UCUUAAAACCAUUGUUUCCACCGAUGGUGGGGUGGCCGCUUUAUUUGUCUCACCACAUUUCAAGGAUUUGCUAGGUACAGAAAAUUCUAACGUUCAGGCUGAUGGCACUUUCAAGUCUGUGCCUCUUCAUCCUAGAAGCGAACAACUAUUUACCCUGCACGUGGUAGAUACUGAAAGGCAUGGAGGACUUCAAAAUCAGAUAUACCCUGCAGCUUACGCACUUAUGACGAGAAGGACAACUGAAGCGUACGAAGCCGUUUUACGAGGUUUAAUCGAAGAAGUGCCAACAUUUAAGCCAGCAACUUUAAUGAGCGACUUCGAACCCGCAUUGCGCUCUGCCUUUCGACGUGUUUUUCCAAAUGUAUCAGUGAAAGGAUGUUGGUUUCACUACGCCCAGGCAAUUUUUCGACGCGCGCAACAACUGGGAAUGGCGAGAACCAUCCGCUCUGAAACUGGAGAAACGGCUUUGAAGAUGCUUAUGGCCUUACCGUUACUACCCACAGACAAAAUUAUAUCUGGAGUACA